rnacentral:lncRNA from 1 species
AUUAAAAGCCGACUUUCACUUUCAUUACCACACCGAGUCCAGGUGGAGUCAACAAAUAUAGUUAGGUUAAAAAAUAGUUGCAUGGUUACAUCUAUACUUUCUACACAUAAGUGAGCAUUGUUUCAAUAGCUUGAUCUAAUAUAUUGUAGAUAUUUGAAAAUGUUUACAUUCGUUACUUUAACAUUUUUUGUUGGAACAAUUUUUGGACAAGAAAAAUUAACUUUUGAGAGUCCAAAGAUGACUGAAGAGGAACAGUUUUCCAAUCAUCUUCCAGGAAACAUGAAGUGUGAUGCAUGUACGGCAAUUUCAUACCAGUUAACUGAAAUGU